rnacentral:rRNA from 1 species
CCUACGGGGAGCAGCAGUGGGGAAUAUUGGGCAAUGGGCGCAAGCCUGACCCAGCAACGCCGCGUGAAGGAAGAAGGCUUUCGGGUUGUAAACUUCUUUUCUCAGGGACGAAGCAAGUGACGGUACCUGAGGAAUAAGCCACGGCUAACUACGUGCCAGCAGCCGCGGUAAUACGUAGGUGGCAAGCGUUAUCCGGAUUUACUGGGUGUAAAGGGCGUGUAGGCGGGAAAGCAAGUCAGAUGUGAAAACCAUGGGCUCAACCUGUGGCCUGCAUUUGAAACUGUUUUUCUUGAGUACUGGGGAGGCAGACGGAAUUCCUAGUGUAGCGGUGAAAUGCGUAGAUAUUAGGAGGAACACCAGUGGCGAAGGCGGUCUGCUGGACAGCAACUGACGCUGAGGCGCGAAAGCGUGGGGAGCAAACAGGAUUAGAUACCCCUGUAGUC